rnacentral:lncRNA from 1 species
CGGCCACCCGCUGGGCGUGACAUGGCUCGUCCCCAGAGUCAGACUGGCCUGCUGGACACGGCCCCUCCAGUCACCCUGAUCUGCUCAGGCCCAGCCCCACCCCAGCAUUCUGGGGACCCCCUGCCUCCCUGGGGAUCAGCGGCAUUUGGGCAGGUACCUGGUGACGCGGGAGACCAGGAAGUGCUGGACGGCGGGACUGUCUACCAUGGCCAGCGCGGCCCCUGCCCAGGCCCGGCACUGCUCCUGCGCCUGCAGCCAGGCCGCCUUCUCUGCCACCAGGCGAUAGCAGCGCCCGUUACCGGGAAAGAUCUCAGUGUCCGAGGGGCAGAGCGGAUGGACCACUGGGGGAGUCAGAGAGCAGGGAGACGGGGCGUCAACGUGUGCCUGACUGGACUGGGCUGCACCCCCACCCCCACCCCUUGGCCGAGGCGGGCGGCCCCACCUCGUGCAGGCUCCUCGCCCAGGGCCAUGAUGCUGUAGGCGGCCUCAAGGCCAGAGCCGCCGCGGUUUCGGAGGCCAAGCUGCAGGGUCUCGCCGCUGUGCACCGAGGCCAGACACACGAGCUCCAGAGCUGCAGGAGCCGCCUGCACCUGCACCUCCGUGUGCAGCCGAGCAGAGCCGGCCCCCAGGGCCAGCACGGCUGUCACAAGAUAGCGCCCGGGCAGCAGAAAGCGGCAGAGAUCCUGUUGUUGCUUAUGUCCCUGGAAGAAAGGGGGUUCGACCCGGUUGGACGGAGGCCUGGUAACCGCAGAGACGACAAGCGGCUGUCACCUGUUCACCCCGUGGAAUGCCACAGCUGCCUGGAGGGGACACUUACAACUCUGUCAGCGCUGAGAGGUUCUCUAGGAGCCCGACGUCCAGCGCCCGGAGCAGGUUGUGGGAGACGUCUCUGGGGAGCAAAGCCGUUGCACGUGAGUGCUGGAGCCCAGGGCAGGACGCGGGCCCGCGGCGGAAGCUCCCCAGCUGCGGCCUCCCACUCUGAGCUCCCUAUUCCAUCCAGGGCCAGUGGUGAGAGAUCUGAUGGAGGCCAGGAGAGCCAGUCCCAGCGCCCCUGGCCCACCACGCCCCUGGCCCGGCAAGGUGGAAGCGCGCCCCGCUGGGCAGGCCUCAGCCCGCCCCAUGGGUUCAGAACACAC